UUUCCUGUCAAGAUGGCUGAGGAAGUGCACCAUGGCGAGGGAGACCUUUGCCUUUCAGGCAGAAAUCGCCCAGCUCAUGUCCUUUCUACUCAAACAAGGAAAUUUUCCUUCAAGAAUUGAUCUCCAAUGCUUCUGAUGCCUUGGACAAGAUUCGCUAUGAGAGCCUGACAGACCCUUCCAAAUUGGACAGUGGCAAAGAGCUGAAGAUUGACAUCAGCCCCAACCCUCAGGAGUGCACGCUGACUUUGGUGGACACAGGCAUUGGCAAGACCAAAGCUGAUCUCAUAAAUAACUUGGGAACCAUUGCUAAGUCUGGCACAAAGGCUUUCAUGGAGGCUCUCCAGGCUGGUGCAGACAUCUCCAUGAUUGGGCAGUUCGGUGUUGGAUUCUACUCUGCCUAUCUCGUGGCAGAGAAAGUGGUUGUGAUCACAAAGCACAACGAUGAUGAGUAGUAUGCUUGGGAGUCCUCUGCUGGUGGAUCCUUCACAGUGGGGGCAGACCAUGGUGAGCCCUUUGGCCGGGAUACCAAAGUCAUCCUUCAUCUCAAAGAAGACCAGAGAGAGUACUUAGAGGAGAGGAGGGUCAAGGAAGUGGUGAAGAAACACUCGCAGUUCAUAGGCUCUCCCAUCACCCUCUUUUUGGAGAAGGAACGAGAGAAGGAGAUCAGUGAUGAUGAGGCAGAAGAAGAGAAGGGUGAGAAAGAGGAAGAAGAUAAGGAUGAUGAGGAAAAGCCAAAGAUUGAAGAUGUGGGAUCAGAUGAGGAGGAUGACAGUGGCAAAGAUAAGAAAAAGAAAACGAAGAAGAUUAAGGAGAAAUACAUUGAUCAGGAAGAGUUGAAUAAGACUAAGCCCAUUUGGACCAGAAACCCUGAUGACAUCACUCAAGAAGAAUAUGGUGAUUUCUAUAAGAGCCUCACCAAUGAUUGGGAGGACCACUUGGCAGUCAAGCACUUCUCUGUAGAGGGUCAGUUGGAAUUCAGAGCAUUGCUCUUCAUUCCUCGGCGAGCUCCCUUUGACCUUUUGGAGAAAAGAAGAAGAACAACAUCAAACUGUAUGUCCGUCGUGUGUUCAUCAUGAACAGCUGUGGUGAGCUGAUCCCCUAGUACCUCAA